UGCGUAGGCGGCCCGUUAAGUCAGGGGUGAAAUCCCGCAGCUCAACUGCGGAACUGCCCUUGAUACUGGGGGGCUCGGAUCGGCGCGAGGCGGGCGGAACGUGGCAUGUAGCGGUGAAAUGCUUAGAUAUGCCACAGAACACCGAUUGCGUAGGCAGCUUGCCAGAGCCGUAUCGACGCUGAGGCACGAAAGCGUGGGGAGCAAACAGGAUUAGAUACCCUGGUAGUCC
rnacentral:rRNA from 1 species